rnacentral:lncRNA from 1 species
UGUUGGGACAAUGUUAAUUUCAUCCAUCCUCACUGAAUCUCUCAAACAACCAUUGUUGUAAAUAUCAUGAUCGAUAGUCUGCCAGCAAAAUUCCCCACAGCUUGUUCAUCCUCCAAUCAGGCCAAGCAGCCUAGCGUAGUUACGGGACCACUUCAGUUACAUUCAGAACUCAUGAGGUUAAUUGUAAGGCGGUAUGUGUGACUCAUAUGGAUAUAGAAUUAAACUAUAAGAAAUCGCAUGGUGGUUCUCCGCUCUUUGGUGUUGUUCAGGAGAAUCCAUAUAACUCACUACACCACGACAUACGUACCGAAACACUUGAUCU